rnacentral:tRNA from 1 species
GCCCGUUUAGCUCAGUGGCAGAGCGUUGGUCUUGUAAACCAAAGGUCGCUGGUUCAAUCCCGGCAGUGGGCA